rnacentral:ncRNA from 2 species
UCUUUAUCGCGAGUGGUGGAGGGACAGGCCCUGCGAAGCCACAGCAACCGGUCGGCGGAUGUCCGAUGCCAGGUGCUAAUUCCUUCCCGUCCGAACAGUUUCGGAGGGGACAGAUGAGGA